GACGAACGCUGGCGGCGUGCUUAACACAUGCAAGUCGAACGGAAAGGCCCUGCUUUUGUGGGGUGCUCGAGUGGCGAACGGGUGAGUAACACGUGAGUAACCCGCCCUUGACUUUGGGAUAACUUCAGGAAACUGGGGCUAAUACCGGAUAGGAGCUCCUGCUGCAUGGUGGGGGUUGGAGAGUUUCGGCGGUUGGGGAUGGACUCGCGGCUUAUCAGCUUGUUGGUGGGGUAGUGGCUUACCAAGGCUUUGACGGGUAGCCGGCCUGAGAGGGUGACCGGCCACAUUGGGACUGAGAUACGGCCCAGACUCCUACGGGAGGCAGCAGUGGGGAAUAUUGCACAAUGGGCGGAAGCCUGAUGCAGCAACGCCGCGUGCGGGAUGACGGCCUUCGGGUUGUAAACCGCUUUCGCCUGUGACGAAGCGUGAGUGACGGUAAUGGGUAAAGAAGCACCGGCUAACUACGUGCCAGCAGCCGCGGUGAUACGUAGGGUGCGAGCGUUGUCCGGAUUUAUUGGGCGUAAAGGGCUCGUAGGUGGUUGAUCGCGUCGGAAGUGUAAUCUUGGGGCUUAACCCUGAGCGUGCUUUCGAUACGGGUUGACUUGAGGAAGGUAGGGGAGAAUGGAAUUCCUGGUGGAGCGGUGGAAUGCGCAGAUAUCAGGAGGAACACCAGUGGCGAAGGCGGUUCUCUGGGCCUUUCCUGACGCUGAGGAGCGAAAGCGUGGGGAGCGAACAGGCUUAGAUACCCUGGUAGUCCACGCUGUAAACGGUGGGUACUAGGUGUGGGGUCCAUUCCACGGGUUCCGUGCCGUAGCUAACGCUUUAAGUACCCCGCCUGGGGAGUACGGCCGCAAGGCUAAAACUCAAAGGAAUUGACGGGGCCCCGCACAAGCGGCGGAGCAUGCGGAUUAAUUCGAUGCAACGCGUAGAACCUUACCUGGGUUUGACAUGGAUCGGGAGCGCUCAGAGAUGGGUGUGCCUCUUUUGGGGUCGGUUCACAGGUGGUGCGUGGCUGUCGUCAGCUCGUGUCGUGAGAUGUUGGGUUAAGUCCCGCAACGAGCGCAACCCUUGUUCACUGUUGCCAGCACGUUAUGGUGGGGACUCAGUGGAGACCGCCGGGGUCAACUCGGAGGAAGGUGGGGAUGACGUCAAGUCAUCAUGCCCCUUAUGUCCAGGGCUUCACGCAUGCUACAAUGGCUGGUACAGAGAGUGGCGAGCCUGUGAGGGUGAGCGAAUCUCGGAAAGCCGGUCUCAGUUCGGAUUGGGGUCUGCAACUCGACCUCAUGAAGUCGGAGUCGCUAGUAAUCGCAGAUCAGCAACGCUGCGGUGAAUACGUUCCCGGG
rnacentral:rRNA from 1 species